rnacentral:rRNA from 1 species
GGUGUUCGUUAAAGUUUGUUUUUAGUUUUAAAAUUUUGUGUUAAAGGAAUUUUUAUUUAGUAUUGUUAAAGAAGUUUAGGGGUAAAAGGUAGUACCGCAAGGGAAAAGUUGAAUGUUGAAGAUAGUAUAGGUUAAAUCUAGUACCUUUUGCAUUAUGGUUUAACGAGAAAAAAGCCUUUUUUAAGGUUUUCUAGAAAGAAAAAGAGUUAUUUCUGAGCUAAAAUAGUGUGGCAUAACUAUUUUUAGACUUGGUUAUGGUAGUGAAACGCUUACGAAUUUUCUGAUAGCUAGUUAAGAGAGAAAGAUAUUUAAGUAUAAUUUGUAAAAGAUGAUAGCUAUAUUCUUUGUAUGGUGUUUUUAAUUACAGUUGCCGGUUCUCUAGGAUAAGCUAGAGAAAUGAGAAAAUUUUUUCUUUUUUGUAAGUUUAUGUAGGUUUAAUAGUUUCUAUCAUUUUUAUGGUUUUAUAACAUAAUUAGUUAAAAAUUAUAUAGUGUUAAUUUUCUAAUUUAUCUCUUUUUAUCUAAGAAUUAUGUUUUGAGGUAGAGUUUAUGUUAAAAUUAGUAUUUAUUAAGUUUAAGAGCUUAAGAUUAUUAUAUGUUAAGCUAUAGAAAUUUAUAUAAAAUAUAAAUGAAAAAUAGGAACUCGGCAAAUUUGAAUUUCGCCUGUUUAUCAAAAACAUCGCUCUUUGUCUUUUAAAAAUAAGGAGUCGUGCCUGCCCGGUGAGUAUUUAAACGGCCGCAGUACCCUGACUGUGCAAAGGUAGCAUAAUCAUUUGCCUUUUAAUUGGAGGCUGGAAUGAAUGGCUUGACGAAGUUCUACUGUCUUUUUUUUAUUAUAUAGAAUUUAAUUUUUAGGUGCAGAAGCCUGAAUAUCAUUGAAAGACGAAAAGACCCUGUCGAACUUUAAAAUAAAGCUAUAAUCGUUGUGUUUUUAGAAUAAGUGUUUUUUAGUUCAUUUUUUUGUUGGGGUGACAAAAGAACAAAUAAAGCUUCUUUGAUUUUGUUAAACUUAUUAGUUAUGAGGAUCCAUAGUGUUUAUGAGAGUAAGACUAAGUUACCGCAGGGAUAACAGCGUUAUUUUUCUGGAGAGUUCGAAUUGAAGGAAAAGAUUGCGACCUCGAUGUUGGAUUAGAAUACCUGGUAGGUGUAGCAGCUUAUUUUAGGGGGUCUGUUCGACCUUUAAUUUUCUACAUGAUCUGAGUUCAAACCGGUGUGAGCCAGGUUGGUUUCUAUCUUUAGUGAAUAAUUAAGUUAAUUUUAGUACGAAAGGACCAAAUUGACAAAACUUUUUUGUAAU